rnacentral:rRNA from 1 species
GAUGAACGCUGGCGGCGUGCCUAAUACAUGCAAGUCGAGCGAACAGACGAGGAGCUUGCUCCUCUGACGUUAGCGGCGGACGGGUGAGUAACACGUGGAUAACCUACCUAUAAGACUGGGAUAACUUCGGGAAACCGGAGCUAAUACCGGAUAAUAUAUUGAACCGCAUGGUUCAAUAGUGCAAGACGGUUUUGCUGUCACUUAUAGCUGGAUCCGCGCCGCAUUAGCUAGUUGGUAAGGUAACGGCUUACCAAGGCGGCGAUGCGUAGCCGGCCUGAGAGGGGGAACAGCCACAACGGAACUGAGACACGGGCCAGACCCCUAAGGGGGGGAGCAGGGGGGAAUAUUUGACAAUGGGGGGAAACCUGAUCCGGCCAACGCGGGUGGGGGAAGAAGGCCUUCGGGUUGGAAAAACCUUUUUUUGGGAGAGAAAAAAAUGUGGAUAAAACCAUGCUGUUCUGACGGGAACCAAAGAAUAAGCCCCGGCUAACUUCGUG